ensembl:lncRNA
UAGUGUCACAUUGAAUUCUUUACUUAUGGUUUUUACUUUUGUGUUGAUCUGGCAGAAACAGAAGGCUCUAACGAGUUCAGCGACAGCGACGUGGACGUGAAUAGAAGGCGUCCACGACGGCGUCAGAACUCUCAUGUCAACUACUAUGAGACGUCAGAGUCUGAAGGGUCACGGAAGGCGUCCGAUCAGAAGCACUCCUCUCUUCCUCACCGUAGACGGCUGUCCAGCUCCAACAGUGAAGAGUCUAUACUUUCUAAAGACUUUAAGCCAAAGGAAUCGCUUCAAAGAUCAGAAAAAGGACGCAAGUGUGAUUCAUCGAGGGAAGACUCCAAACACAGGCACAAACGAGAAAAACAGAGACAGCAGAGAAGCUCCAGUGAAGACGAGGAGGAGGAGGAUGGAGGAGAAACAGAGGACUCUGAGGAAGAUGAACAGCCCCUCCGCAAGAGGUCGAACCGCAUCGAAACAGACGAAGAAGAGGAGGAAGAGGAGAACACACGAGGAAGCGUCCGGUGGAAGCACACGGCGGGCUCUCGAGGUCCCGUCAGGCACAACGGCUUGGUCCCCCUGAGGGCCGCAGCUCAGGAUGACGACGAUGAUGAGGAUGAGGAAGAGUUCACUGGAGUCACGGACCUUGUUAACUUUGUUUUCGACAGUGAACAGUUGUCAUGAUCAGCUCAGUAGGUUAAAUAUGUUUUCUCAUCGCCUUGUCACGGGAAUGUCCCUCAUCAGCCACCGUAGUCUGCUGGUUUUGGGUGUAGUGGACCAAAAAUGAAGCUUCCAGACGAAUGCCGUAGUGUCCGUUCCGAUGUUUGAAUGCACUCUAGUUCAUCCAGCCGCAUGCAUCGUCCUACCGGUUUAGAACAGGGUCUUCUUAAUACUCCAGUCACCAUUCCUCAGAGUGAAGCACUUUGCCAUUUACGGCCAGUACGAUUUCGUUUGUAUAGCAGCUUCGGUCGUCCUCUAGAGACACUGGACGGCGCGCAUUUGAAGCUUACGUGUUACGUGCAUUUCAGACUGGUGUUUUAGACUUCUACAUUCUCCGUGUUGCUGUUUUCUUCUUUUUGUACCUGAAGGAAUUUUGGGAUUGACUUGUGAUGCCGAACCUUGCCUAAAUGCAUUCAUUCAAUUUAAGGAAUAGUUCACCCAAAAAUGAAAAUUUGCUGAAAAUGUAGAUGACUUUGUUUCUUCAUGGGAGCAGAUUUGGAGAAAUGUAGCAUUGCAUCACUUUCUCACCAAUGCAUCCUCUGCAGUGAAUGGGUGCCGUCAGAAUAAGAGUCCAAACAGUUGAUAAAAACAUAACAGUAAUCCACACCACUCCAGUCCAUCAAUUACCGUCUUGUGACGCCAAAAGCUGCAUGUUUGUAAGAAACAAAUCCAUCAUUAAGAUGUUUUAACUUCAAGUUGAGUCCUCUGUCCAGUGAAAAAGUCUUGUCUGGAUCAGGAGAGAAGUAUGCAGAGAUCCAGCAUAAUUUACAAGUGAAAACAGUCCGUAACAGCUCUAAACAAAUAUAUGGGUGGAUUUUCGCCAACGGCGAACAGACUUUUUCACUGGAGAAAGCGUUAUUAUGGAUUUUAGCUGGAAACAAGGGUUUGAAGUUUAGAACGUCCUAAUGAUGGAUUUAUUUCUUACAAAUACACAGCUUUUGGCUUCACAAGACAUUAACUGAUGGACUGGAGUGGUGUGGAUUACUUGUGGAUUAUUGUGAUGUUUUUAUCAGCUGUUUGGACUCUCAUUCUGACGGCACCCAUUCACUGCAGAGGAGUGAUGGAAUGCUACAUUUCUCCAAAUCUGUUUAAAUGGGAAAAAACAAACAAACUCAUCUAUAUCUUAGAUGGCCUGAAGGUGAGUACAUUUUCAGCAAAAUUUCAUUUUAGGGUGAAUUAUUCCUUAAGAAGUAAAUUAGUAGACCAGCAAAUAAAGGAAGAAACACAUUGGAGGAUAAUUGAAAAUGAUCUUAAUAUUAAAGAUGAUUUUAAUUUAAAAGACUAAUAUACUCUCUGUACCUAAAAUAACAUUGUAUGUUAUAUUACAACAAAUAUUAUUUGCUUAUUUCUCAGAUUAGGACAUUUUCUGUACUUUGAAUGCUGUUGCUGAAGUUUUAGGACACUUAAUGAGACGUUCAGUCACAUUUAAGUCCCUGUCUGAGUUUUAAUGCGUCAACCGAAUGCACUUGUCGUUCAAGCACCUUUGACGGUGCCGUUUGGUACCAACCGUAUUGUUGAAAUGUUCUGUUCGACAACAGUCUGGAUCGCUCUUUUCAGAGUUGUUUUUUAGUGUUUACUCCAGGCUGGUGUUCUUUAUGCUGGAAGAUUGUUUGAAUUAGAACACUAUGAGAUCAUUCCAACACAAAUCCACCCCUUUACAAAACAAAUCCAAUAUUUAAAAAAACCCACAAGCACUAGAAUAAUAAUGGUGUUUUAAAAUAAUCAUGGUCUUUGCUUUCAGUUAAAGAAUGUGUUUUUGAGCCGUGUACUACUGGAAUUCGUGUUUUCCUUCUCAUUUUAUUUCACUCUUACUUUCCAGAUGUACAUCUCCAUAUUUCAAGGAAAUUAUUCACAAAACGGAA